AAGACUAUAGACCUGCGGAGUACCUGCGGAGGGAUCAUUACAGAGUUGCAAAACUCCAAACCAUUGUGAACUUACCUUUGCCGUUGCUUCGGCGGGCGGCCCGGGUCCCGACCCGGCGCCCCCCGGCCCCGUCAGGGGCGCCCGCCGGAGGUAAACCAAACUCUUGAAUUGUAUGGCCUCUCUGAGUCUUCUGUACUGAAUAAGUCAAAACUUUCAGCAAUGGAUCUCUAGAUCGGAAGA
rnacentral:misc_RNA from 1 species